rnacentral:rRNA from 1 species
AUUGAACGCUGGCGGCAUGCCUUACACAUGCAAGUCGAACGGCAGCACGGGAGCAAUCCUGGUGGCGAGUGGCGAACGGGUGAGUAAUGUAUCGGAACGUACCUUUCAGUGGGGGAUAGCGUAGCGAAAGUUACGCUAAUACCGCAUAUUCUGUGAGCAGGAAAGCAGGGGAUCGCAAGACCUUGCGCUGAUUGAGCGGCCGAUAUCAGAUUAGCUAGUUGGUGAGGUAAAGGCUCACCAAGGCGGCGAUCUGUAGCGGGUCUGAGAGGAUGAUCCGCCACACUGGAACUGAGACACGGUCCAGACUCCUACGGGAGGCAGCAGUGGGGAAUUUUGGACAAUGGGCGCAAGCCUGAUCCAGCCAUGCCGCGUGAGUGAAGAAGGCCUCGGUUGUAAG